AGUCUUUUGGCUGAUUGCAUAAGCAGAUAUCUUGAAAAUAUCUUAAAAAGGUUAAAUUCCUUUAAUGACUU
rnacentral:tRNA from 1 species